rnacentral:tRNA from 1 species
UUAAAUUUAUUUUAAAGGAAAAAUAUAUUAUUUACAAUAAUAAGAUUAUGAUUUACAUGAAUUUAAA